rnacentral:rRNA from 1 species
UACGUAGGUGGCAAGCGUUGUCCGGAUUUACUGGGCGUAAAGGAUGCGUAGGCGGACAUUUAAGUCAGAUGUGAAAUACCCGAGCUUAACUUGGGUGCUGCAUUUGAAACUGGGUGUCUAGAGUGCAGGAGAGGUAAGUGGAAUUCCUAGUGUAGCGGUGAAAUGCGUAGAGAUUAGGAAGAACACCAGUGGCGAAGGCGACUUACUGGACUGUAACUGACACUGAGGCAUGAAAGCGUGGGGAGCAAACAGG